CUCUCUCUCUCUCUCUCACUCUCUCUCUCUCUCUCUCUCGUUCUCGUCUCCGAUCGCUUCUCGGCGGUUGUGAUCGAGGAAGUAGUACCGCAUUACGUUGUAAGAGAAGAGGCGAGGGCUUCUUCUGCUUCUUGGCCUACUUCGAUCGACGGUGGGGGAUGGCUUCCGGGAGCUACAGGAACGGAGGCCCCAAACCGACCUCCAAGCUCGACCGCCUGCCCCCCUCCACUGCCUACUCCACGCCCAAGCCCUCCGCCAAGCCCAGGCCCUCCGCCGCUCCCGUCCCUCGUCGUGGCGGCUCCGUCGCUCCUGCCGCUGCCUCCGCCGGCAAAGCCGGCGGCGAUGCUGGAGUUCCUGGAAGAGUUAGAGUGGCUGUAAGACUUCGGCCUAGAAAUGCAGAGGAAACAAUAGCAGAUGCAGAUUUUGCGGACUGUGUUGAAUUGCAGCCUGAGCUUAAAAGGUUAAAGCUCCGCAAGAACAAUUGGGAGUCAGAAACCUAUGAAUUUGAUGAAGUGCUGACAGAAUUUGCCUCACAAAAACGUGUAUAUGAAGUUGUUGCAAAACCUGUUGUGGAGAGUGUUCUGGAAGGGUAUAAUGGUACAGUUAUGGCCUAUGGACAGACGGGUACUGGAAAGACUUAUACUCUUGGAAGGCUUGGUGAGGAAGACACUGCAGCACGAGGCAUUAUGGUCCGUGCAAUGGAAGACAUUUUGGCAGAUACAUCUCCAGAGACCGAUUCUGUUUCUGUAUCAUAUUUACAGUUAUACAUGGAAAGCAUACAGGACCUUCUUGUUCCUGCAAAUGACAACAUUGCCAUCAUAGAAGAUCCAAAGACAGGGGAUGUUUCACUACCAGGGGCUACCAGUGUAGAUAUUAGAGAUCAAAAAAGCUUUAUGGAGCUCUUAAGAUUAGGAGAAGUGCACCGUUUUGCUGCUAAUACAAAGCUGAACACCGAGUCAUCUCGGAGCCAUGCUAUUCUAAUUGUCCAUGUUAAGAGGUCACUUAAGGGAAGACAUGAUGCAGAUCAUGGUUUUCCCAGUGAGAAUGGUACUAAUUCCACCUUGGUCAAAUCUUUCAGACCGCCCAUAGUUAGAAAAAGCAAACUUGUUGUUGUGGAUCUUGCCGGUUCAGAGAGGAUUGAUAAGUCAGGAAGUGAGGGGCAUACUCUAGAAGAAGCAAAGUCGAUUAAUCUAUCAUUAAGUGCUUUAGGCAAAUGCAUUAAUGCACUUGCUGAAAAUAGUCCACAUGUUCCAGUUCGUGAUUCAAAGUUGACAAGACUGCUUCGAGAUUCAUUUGGAGGCAGUGCAAGAACUUCGUUAGUGGUGACUAUUGGUCCAUCUCCUCGCCAUAGAGGAGAAACUGCAAGCACCAUAAUGUUUGGACAAAGAGCAAUGAAGGUGGAGAACAUGGUGAAACUAAAGGAAGAAUUUGAUUAUAAAAGCUUGUGCAGGAGGCUUGAUAUUGAGCUUGAUAAGUUAAUGGCAGAGAAUGAAAGGCAAAGAAAAGAUUUUGAAGAUGAGAUUGAGAGAAUAAGGACAGAAGCUGACAGCCAAGUUGCUGAAGUUGAAAAAGGCUACAAUAACACUCUUGAGAAUGAGAGGCUAAAGUACCAACAAGACAAUAUGGACUCAAUCAAGAAGCUUGAGGAGAAGUGGAUGGCUAAUGUGAAUAGAGCCAGAGUAGAACAUCAGAAUGCGUGUCUAGAAAAGGCUCCAACAACAUCCAGCUCAGCUGAUAUUGUCGAAGUCAGACAGUCACUCGAGAAUGAAAAGAUAUUGCGACAAUCUACAGAAGAGGUGGUUAUGAACCUCAAAUGUGAAAUAUCACACUGGAAAAGAUUAGAGGCAGCUGGCAAUUCUGAAAUUGUGAAACUUCGCAAGAUGCUGGACAGUGAAGCCAAUCAGAAACAUAAACUUGAAGAAGAAAUAGCAAUACUGAGAAGUCAGUUGUUGCAGUUAAGUUUUCAAGCUGAUGAGACAAGUAGGAGUCUUGACAGAGGUGAGUCUGGAAAAGCCUUAACCGGAUUUGAUUCCCUUGUACCACAAGCUAGGCAUCCCCAGCUUAGAGAUUCAGCAAAUGGACCGAAGGCCUCAAUUGCUAAACUUUUUGAACAAGUGGGUUUGCAAAAAAUAUUGUCAUUGCUUGAAUCAGAAGAUCAUGAUGUUCGAGUUCAUGCAGUGAAAGUUGUAGCAAACCUGGCAGCCGAAGAAGCAAACCAGGAUAAGAUUGUAGAAGCUGGUGGUCUUACGUCAUUGCUGAUGCUUCUAAGAAACUCAGAGGAUGAGACUAUACGUAGAGUAGCAGCUGGUGCAAUUGCCAACCUUGCGAUGAAUGAAACCAACCAAGAGCUCAUAAUGGCUCAAGGUGGCAUUGUCUUGUUAUCUAUGACUGCUGCUGAUGCUGAGGACCCUCAAACACUUCGAAUGGUUGCUGGAGCCAUUGCUAAUCUAUGUGGAAACGAUAAGCUACAGAUGAAGCUUAGUGUAGAAGGUGGCAUUAAAGCCUUGCUAGGUAUGGUUAGGUGUGGGCACCCUGAUGUUCUCGCACAAGUUGCACGUGGCAUUGCAAACUUUGCAAAAUGUGAGUCACGAGCUUCUACUCAAGGAAAUAAGGUGGGUGUAUCUCUCUUAAUUGAAGAUGGAGCUCUUCCAUGGAUCGUAAAAAAUGCCAACCAUGAUGCUUCACCUAUAAGACGCCACAUUGAGCUUGCACUGUGCCACUUGGCACAACAUGAAGUCAAUGCAAAAGAUAUGAUCAAUGAGGGAGCUUUGUGGGAACUGGUUCGCAUCUCACGUGAUUGUUCACGAGAGGAUAUUAGAAUGCUGGCACACAGAACUCUGAUCUCAAGUGCUACUCUCCGGACAGAAUUGAGACGAUUGCACAUUGAAUUUUAAGAUGCCAAAAGUAGCCUGCCAUCUGCACAGUAUCUUGGCUUAGGUGUAUCUGGUUGUUUGUGAGCUUCAUAUCUCAGAGCGUUUGUAAAAGAAGAUAACAAAGGUUUGCCUAGCAUCUGCUUAGUACAAAACCAGUGGCGCAUGGAAGUAAUUAUCAUCCUUCAGCCAAAAGAGGUCAAGUUUUUCCUGCCAUUGGUUGGUGUCUGUUCAAACUGGUUAUGACUUGAGACCCUAAAUUCGGAUCUGCCCACACUGCAAAUGUAUUUGUUGAAGGUACUGUGUGAUCAAGACACUACCAAGCUGUGGUCAAUGAGGUCAAGAAAAUCUAUCCAAGGUAUAUGCUCCUUUGACUUUGCAAAACCAAUGUAAUUGUCUGUUAGUGGGGCAUCAACUCCCAACAAAGUGCCCACGGAUAUUCCAAUCAGUAACUAAUAUUCUGUGGUAGGAUUAUCGGAGGCAUUGACAGAUCACACAGACAGGAGAAUUCAUUCAAUAUGAUAUUACAGGUUCAAACUGCAACAUUUUGCUCAUGCUUGCUACUACCAGCCAUCACAUCUCACUCUUCGGUCCACUGCUCUGUUGCCGGAAAGCUGAAAAGGAGAUCUACAGCUGGUAGCUGCUUGAUUGGAAAGCAGCAGCAAAUCCUGAGAACAAAGGCUUACUAGAUUUGGUACAGAUCAUGGAAGUAUCAAAGCUUUUGGAGGUGCAUGGAUUUGGCUUCAUGCUUUUGCUCAAAGUUAUCUUAUGGUAGUGUUUUCCUGCUGUCUUAAAAUCUUUAGAAUGGUGCAGAUUUUAAAGCUUCUCAAAAUCUCAUUAGUAUACUGUACUUCUGUGGCGACCUCGGAGAUCUCUUGAUGGAUCAUGUCCAUUGUUGCCAUCCACAAGACCCAACUACGUACAGCAGCAGCAGCAAACAGUAUGGCACUGUUUCCCACUCAUCGAUGGCGGGCACCCAUCCAAGAGGUGUGGCCGUCCCCUUUCGGUACCACGAAGCACAGAUUACUCGCACAACCCGCAUGAGAACAUUUAAUUUGCUGCUGCUUGGAGUUGUCAUCUUUGGAAAGCUCAUGACAUGAGAACUUUCGCUGCUCUGGAGAGACAGAAAUGAUGACUGAGGAGGCCUCUGUUUUACCUUCCGUCACAGGACUUCAAUGCCCACGGUUCACCCUGUACAUUGCCAAUAUGACUUGUGUCAGUCCUAUAGCAUUGACAUCAGGUCAAGAACA